rnacentral:lncRNA from 1 species
CCCCCCAUUUCUUACUGAUGGGUCUUGGAAGUCUGCUUCUGCUAUGGCUGGAGUUGGAGUUAUUAUUCGGAAGAUUGCUGGUUCUUGUAUUGGGGGUCUUGUUGCUCAGGUGCGUGCCCAAUCUCCACUUAUGGUUGAAGUUUUGGCCCUGAAACAUGGUCUUUUGAGAGCUAAAGAGUUGAAUUUGGUUAAUGUUGUGGUGGAAUCUAAUUCUCAAGUGGCUAUUAAUUCUGUUCAGAGGGAUGUUUCUUCCUUUAAUUGGGAGUUGCAUCCUGUCAUUAAGGAUAUUAGGUUUAUUAAAGCCUAUUUCACAAAUCUGAAUUGGGCAUGGGUGCUCCGUGAAGCGAACCAGUCUGCGGAUGCCGUUGCCUCACUUGCCAAGAAGGGGAUGUGCUUGGAGUUGUGGCUUGUGUGACCUCCAUUCUCUCUGGUUCAUAUUUUAUCUCGAGAUAGUCUUCCUUGCCCUCCGCUUGAUGCUUAAUCUUUUGUUGUGUGGUUUUUCGUUUGUUUAGUUCUUUUGGCUUGUUUUAGUUCUUUGGUUUGGUAUGUCUGUUCUGUUUGUUUGGUUGGGUUUGGCUCCCUUUUGGGCCUUUGCCGGUUAACUUUUAUGACAUCUUUGUUGACCCAAAAAAAAUAAAAAAAGAGAGGGAAGAAUCACGGACUUUGUAUACAGUUAUGUCGGUUAGUUUAUUAUUUUACAGCUAUGUCGGUUAGUUUAUUAUAUUACAAUACUUUGAUUAUUUUAUACUAAAGCAUGCUUUUGAUAUCAAGAUAUUUUGGAGUCAACCGACUUUGUUAAGUUGGUUUGUUCAUUCUCAAUUAUUCUAGACUAUUCUAUAUUAUUCAAGAUUUUUCUAUGUUCUUCAAGGUAUAAGUGGGGAUUACUUUUUUAACAGAAGUCUACAUUUCGUUUUCAAUUGCUGUCUACAAUGAUAUACCUUUUGUUAAAGGAAAGAAUCAAGUCAUAUUUGAUAUGCCUGUUGUAAAAGUUUGAAGGUGGAGCCCACAGAGGAAGUUUCCUUGCAUCUUCCAGGAACUUUCCUUCCCUGUAUUUAUCAAUUCAGGAAGUUUCCUUGCAUCUUCCAGGAACUUUCCUUCCCUGUAUUUUACCAAAACCUUAGCCUAUAAAUAGGCAUAUCACUUGCAAUGGAAAGAGCAACCAACGGAGAAAAGAAAGAAAAGGGAGAAGAGAAAAGAAGAGAGAAGAAGAAGAGAAAAUAAGAGGGUAAGUAAGCAGAGAGAAAAUUCAGUGAGUCACACAUAUUGUAAACACUAUUGUAGUCAUAUUAUUAUAUAGUGAAAGGUUACUGUUGCUGCUCUCCGAGGACGUAGGCGUAGCCGAACCUCGUUAAAUACUGUGUCUCAUCUACUUUACGUGCAGCUCAGAAUUCGCACAUAUCCCAGGUUAUUUCAUAACACGUUAUCAGCACGAUAGUCUCUCCUUUUAUUUCUGAAAUUUUUCCAACUCAACACUAUAUAAUAUACUAUAUCUAUCUGCUUCUCUAUUACUAACCAUUAACAAAAAUGGACCCUUGGUAAUACUAAACAUAUUAUCAGUGGGAGACCGUUACUAAUACUAACUUUUUCUUAUUUUAUUCGGUGGUGGUUUUAACCCCACAUUUAUUUACUGUAUGGUGUAGGUUUAUUACCCAUACAUGCACCUUUACUUUAUCGCAAAUUUAUUUUACCUCAUAUUUAUUUUAUUUACUGUAUGGUGUAGGUUUAUUACCCAUACAACAGUAUUUACUUUUAUUUAAAUGUAUGGAGCAGAAUUAAUGCCCAUACAAGCACUUUUACUUUAUGAAUUUACUUAACCGCACAUUUACAUUUAUUUAAAGUAUGGUGCGGGAUUAACGUCCAUACAGCAAGCAAUUUAAUUUAUGAAUUUAAUUUACCGCACAUUUACAUUUAUUUAAAAGGGUGGUGCGGGUUUAUCGUCCACGCCUUUACUUUUAUUUAAAUGUAUGGAGCAGAAUUAAUGCCCAUACAAGCACUUUUACUUUAUGAAUUUACUUAACCGCACAUUUACAUUUAUUUAAAGUGUGGUGCGGGUUUAUCGUCCAUACCAGCAAAUUCAUAACACUUUACUUUUAUCAUCAAUUAAUAUACCUGAAUAAUGAGGACCUGAAAUUCCUAUUAAUAAGUGGCUUAAUAUCCCAGAUCUCGAGCCUAAAGUUUUGGAUGGCAAAUUUGGCAAAACUAGAGUUUGCUGCCUUGGACCUUUCCGGGGACAACUAUUUAUCAUGGGUCCUGGAUGCCAAAAUUCAUCUACGAGCCAAUGGCCUCGGACAAACAAUUGUAGAUGAGAAUGAUGCUUCGCCUGAAGAGAAUGCGAAGGCCAUGAUCUUUCUUCGCCGCCACAUCCAUGAAGCGCUGAAGAGCGAAUAUGUGGUGGUUGAUGAACCGUUGGUUCUGUGGAAAGCUCUAGGUGAAAGAUACGAUCACCAGAAGACGAUGACUCUCCCAAGAGCUAGAUACGAAUGGACCCACUUGAGAUUUCAAGAUUUCAAGUCAGUGUCCGAGUAUAACUCUGCUAUGCACAGAAUUACCUCAUUAAUGAGGCUAUGUGGGGAAAAUAUAUCUGAUGAGGAUAUGCUCGAAAAAACUCUGAGCACUUUUCAUGCUUCAAAUGUCCUCCUUCAGCAGCAAUACAGACAUAGCGGUUUCAAGAAGUACUCGGAACUUGUAUCUUGCCUCUUGUUAGGUGAGCAGAAUAAUGAGCUCUUAUUAAAGAAUCACCAAUCUCGCCCAACGGGCUCAGCACCACUUCCUGAAAUAAAUGCUGCAUCUCAGGAAGUGAAUGCCACUUCAUCUCGUGGCAGUAUCCACAAACGUGGGCGAGGGGGCAAGCAUGGCCACUGGUAAGGAAGUAGAAAAAAUCGUGGUGCUCGUUCAGAGGGCUUAGGUCCAAGGAGCGGUCCAUCCACGAAUGGCAAAAAUGCAUCCCGUAAUAAGGGAAAGGCACAUAUGAGCCAUGUGCCUAGAAAUGUUGAAAGCCCUUGUCACAGAUGUGGUGCAAAGGGACAUUGGAUGCGCGCAUGUCGUACGCCCAGGCAUUUGGCGGAUCUCUAUCAAGCUUCACUUAAGAACUGGAAAGUGGAGAUAAAUUACAUUGAUCAUGCUCCGCCAGCCACAGAUGGCUCAUCAGAAAUAUCACGUCAGCUAAACAAGACGCAUCUAGGUGUUUCUGAUUUUGUUACUGAAAGAGGGAAUGAAGGUUAUGUGUCCGAAUUAGAUUAAAUUCCUUAAUAUACUACUUGUAUUAGCUGAAGUGUUGUUUAAAUUUCAAUACAAUAAAAGUGGUAAUGUUUUCUUCUUUAUUAAUCCAGCUUAUUUUACUUAUUUGGUGGCAUGGAUGCAAAUUAUGGAUGCCCUCAAAACGAAGGCUAUGACAGAGAUAUUUGUCUCGCAGACAGCGCAACUACUCAUAUGAUCUUUCAAGAUCGGAAGUAUUUCUCAAAAUUAAUGCUUACAAAAGUAAAGGUAACAACCAUAUCAGGUCCUGCAGAUCUGAUUGAAGGUUCAGGAAUAGCCCAAAUUAUGUUACCGAAUGGAACAAUACUGUCCAUUCCAGAUGCUUUGUAUUCACCUAACUCCAGAAGGAAUCUGUUGAGUUUCAAAGAUAUACGUUUGAAUGGCUACCAUGUUGAAACAAAGAAAGAGGAAAACAUGGAAUAUCUUUGUAUUACCUCCAGUGAUACUCAAAAGCAUAUACUGGAAAAGCUUUGUGAGCUCUCAUCAGGGUUGUAUUACACAACCAUACGGACAAUUGAGGCACAUAGUGUCAUGGACCAAGAGUCCACUGACUCAAAUGCUUUUAAGCUUUGGCAUGACAGGUUGGGUCAUCCUGGAUCCACCAUGAUGCGCAGGAUCAUCACCAACUCUAAAGGACAUCCCUUGUUGACUAAACACAUUAUGUUAUCAAGCGACAUCUUUUGCCAAGCUUGUUCACAAGGGAAGUUGGUGAUCAGACCAUCACAACCAAAGGUUGAUGUUGAGUCUCCAUCAUUUUUGCAGAGAAUUCAAGGGGACAUUUGUGGACCCAUUCAUCCCCCAUGUGGACCAUUUCGAUACUUUAUGGUCUUGGUAGACGCAUCUACCCGAUGGUCACAUGUUUGUCUUUUAUCUACUCGGAAUAUGGCAUUUGCUAGGCUUUUGGCUCAGAUAAUUAAAUUACGAGCCCAAUUCUCAGAUUAUCCCAUUAAGUCAAUCAGACUCGAUAAUGCUGGUGAAUUUACAUCUCAGACUUUUGAUGACUACUGCAUGUCACUAGGCAUUGAUAUUGAACAUCCUGUUCCCCAUGUGCAUACUCAAAAUGGCUUGGCAGAAGCUUUAAUUAAACGCCUUCAAUUGAUAGCACGCACUUUGCUAAUGAAAACAAAGUUGCCAGUUUCUGCUUGGGGAUAUGCCAUUUUACAUGCAGCAUCGCUUGUGCGAUUGAGGCCCGUCACCAACAAUCAAUGUUCUCCAAUACAACUCGUAUUGGGAAAUCAACCAAACAUUUCACAUUUAAGAAUUUUUGGGUGUGCGGUAUAUGUGCCCAUUGCACCACCGCAACGUACUAAGAUGGGCCCUCAAAGCAGAUUGGGAAUUUAUAUUGGUUUUGAUUCACCAUCUAUCAUCAGAUACUUGGCACCCCUGACGGGUGAUAUUUUUACCGCACGAUUUGCGGAUUGUGAUUUUGAUGAGACAAUCUUCCCACCAUUAGGGGGAGAAAAAUCUGUGUCUAAAGAACAAGGCAAACUCAUUCCUGAAAAACGACAUGAAUUAUCCUGGAAUGUAUCCACAUUGUCUCAUCUCGAUCCUCAUACUGCUCAAUGCGAAAAUGAAGUGAGAAGGAUCGUUCACCUCCAAAGUAUUGCCAAUCAGAUGCCAGAUGCAUUUAAUGAUGCAGCAAAGGUGACGAAAUCUCAUAUCCCAGCUGCAAAUGCACCCGCACGGAUUGAUGUCCAUAAUGGACAAAGCAAUGUCCCAGCAAAUGGUUCAUCUGCUGCACGCCUAAAACGUGGCAGACCACUAGGCUCAAAGGAUUCAAUUCCUCGAAAGAGGAAGUUGAUGGACAAAAUGAAUCCAAAUGAAAUAAAUAGAGAGCCCACAAUUCAUAAUUCAAAUGCCCCCAAAGAGGGACAUGUACUUCUUGACAAGGAAAACGUCAUUGGUGAGACAAGUGCCCCUGGAGUGGCAACCGUACCUGAAAGUCAAGAAAUCUCCAUAAAUUAUACGUCCACUGAUGAAUUGUGGAGUAGAAAUGAGAUGAUCAUCGAUGAUAUAUUUGCAUUCUCAGUGGCUGCUAAGAUCAUAAAAGAUGAUGAUAUUGAGCCGUGCUCUAUUAAUGAAUGUACACAGAGGCAAGAUUGGCCCAAGUGGAAAGAUGCAAUCCAGGCAGAAUUAAAUUCUUUGGAAAAAAGGAGUGUUUUUGGACAUAUUAGUCCAACUCCACCCAAUGUGAACCCUGUAGGUUACAAGUGGGUAUUUACAAGAAAGCGCAAUGAGAAAAAUGAGAUCUCAAGGUAUAAAGCGCGACUCGUUGCGCAAGGUUUUUCACAAAGGCCUGGAAUUGAUUAUGUGGAAACAUACUCUCCAGUAAUGGACACAAUUACAUUCCGUUACCUAAUAAGUUUGGCGGUUUCAGAAAAACUUGAAAUGAGACUCCUGGAUGUCAUUACCGCAUAUUUGUAUGGAGAAUUGGAUACAGAUAUAUACAUGAAAGUUCCAGAAGGAUUCAGGUUGCCUGAAGCAGCCAGAAACAAACCACGGGACAUGUUCUCAGUUAAAUUGAGAAAAUCAUUAUAUGGGCUAAAACAAUCUGGACGAAUGUGGUACAAUCGUCUCAGUAAGUAUUUAUUGAAGGAAGGAUACACAAAUGAUCCUAUUUGCCCAUGUGUGUUUAUUAAGAAAUCAGAGUCUGGAUUUGCGAUAGUGGCAGUAUAUGUCGACGACAUGAAUCUAAUUGGAACUUCUGAAGAGCUUCAAAAGACUGUUGAUUAUCUCAAACGUGAAUUUGAGAUGAAGGACCUUGGAAAGACAAAAUAUUGUCUUGGCUUGCAGAUUGAGCACAGUGCUAAUGGAAUUUUGGUGCAUCAAUCAACUUAUACUGAGAAAGUAUUGGAACGGUUUGGCAUGGAUAAAGCCCAUCCACUUAGCACUCCAAUGGUCGUUCGAUCGCUUGACACUAAGAAAGACCCAUAUCGUCCAAAAGAGAAUGAUGAAAUGGUCCUUGGUCCAGAAGUACCAUAUCUUAGUGCAAUAGGUGCUUUAUUGUACCUAGCACAAUGUACCAGACCAGACAUAUCAUUCUCAGUAAAUCUGUUAGCAAGGUACAGUUCUGCUCCAACAAGGCGACACUGGACCGGCAUCAAACAUGUUCUACGAUACCUUCGUGGGACAACAGACAUGGGGUUAUUCUAUUCCAAAACUUGGGGAACAUCAUAAUACGGUGGGAGGAGUCAUUUGGUUGGUUUUGAGUGAAAUCCAAUCUCUAUAGCUAUGCAAUACACCAACCACUACAUUUCAUAACGAACUUCGUACGAUCCUGAAUUGUCCAAUUUCAUGGACCAAUCGAUAUCGGAUUGAGUCCAAAACUUGUGGAACAUCGUAAUAUGGUGGGAGGAGUCAUUUGGUGGGUGUUGAGGGAAAUCCAAUCUCCAGAUCUAUGCAAUACACCAAGCAUUCCAUUUCAGAACGAAGUUCAUACGAACCUAAAUUGUUCAAUUUCGUGGACCAAUCGAUAUCAGAUUGAGUUUGAAACUUGGGGAACGUCAUAAUAUGGUGGAAGGAGUCAUUUUGUGGGUUUUGAGUGAAAUCCAAUCUCUACAACUAUGCAAUACACCAACCACUCCAUUUUUGUUGUGUUCCUUCCAUGUUACUAGUUUUGAAAGAACCCUGACUAAAAAUUUCUUUGGCGAGCGGUCUCUAAUAGUCUCCCUUCCUUCUUAAAUCUCUAUAAGCGUAAGUUGUCCUCUUCGUAUUUAUGUCCUAUUUGUUUGGAGAGUCCUGAAUCAAUUGAAUAUAUGCUAGUCCUUUGUCCUUGGAUAGCGUCUGUUUGGUUUGGAAGUGCAAUUGGCUAUCGUGUGGAUUUGCAAAGUUUUACUUCUUUGGAUAGAUGGUUGGGCAGUCUCUUGACAUGGGAGAGUAUGUUCUCACCCAAUUCUAUGUGGAAGGAUCGAUGGGCAGUCUCUUUUGUCGGUUGUUGCUUUCACUUGUUGGCAUAUUUGGAAGGAUCGAUGUAAAUUUGUUUACAAUGAUAUCCCAAUUGUGCCUGCAGCUACUAGAUCUCGUGCUUGUUUGGCGGUGUCAGAAUUUUGGAAUGUUACAAAGAAGCUAGUUCUUGGGUCAGUGGGUAUGCCUAUUCAAAUUUCUUCUCUUCAUAUCCUUCUUAUUGGCUACCCCCCAUUUCUUCUUAUGUUAAGAUUAAUACUGAUGGGUCUUGGAAGUCUGCUUCUGCUAUGGCUGGAGUUGGAGUUAUUAUUCGGAAGAUUGCUGGUUCUUGUAUUGGGGGUCUUGUUGCUCAGGUGCGUGCCCAAUCUCCACUUAUGGUUGAAGUUUUGGCCCUAAAACAUGGUCUUUUGAGAGCUAAAGAGUUGAAUUUGGUUAAUGUUGUGGUGGAAUCUAAUUCUCAAGUGGCUAUUAAUUCUGUUCAGAGGGAUGUUUCUUCCUUUAAUUGGGAGUUGCAUCCUGUCAUUAAGGAUAUUAGGUUUAUUAAAGCCUAUUUCACAAAUCUGAAUUGGGCAUGGGUGCUCCGUGAAGCGAACCAGUCUGCGAAUGCCGUUGUCUCGCUUGCCAAGAAGGGGAUGUGCUUGGAGUUGUGGCUUGUGUGACCUCCAUUCUCUCUGGUUCAUAUUUUAUCUCGAGAUAGUCUUCCUUGCCCUCCGCUUGAUGCUUAAUCUUUUGUUGUGUGGUUUUUCGUUUGUUUAGUUCUUUUGGCUUGUUUUAGUUCUUUGGUUUGGUAUGUCUGUUCUGUUUGUUUGGUUGGGUUUGGCUCCCCUUUGGGCCUUUGCCGGUUAACUUUUAUGGUAUCUUUGUUGACCCAAAAAAAAUAAAAAAAAAGAGGGAAGAAUCACGGACUUUGUAUACAGUUAUGUCGGUUAGUUUAUUAUUUUACAGCUAUGUCGGUUAGUUUAUUAUAUUACAAUACUUUGAUUAGUUUAUACUAAAGCAUGCUUUUGAUAUCAAGAUAUUUUGGAGUCAACCGACUUUGUUAAGUUGGUUUGUUCAUUCUCAAUUAUUCUAGACUAUUCUAUAUUAUUCAAGAUUUUUCUAUGUUCGUAAAAGUGGGGAUUACUUUUUUAACAAAAGUCUACAUUUCGUUUUCAAUAUGCC